rnacentral:sRNA from 1 species
GGCCAAGCAAGCUUCUGUCUGCACCUGCUCUCAAUCCUGCUCUCACCAUGAGCCUCCGCCUGCAGAGCUCCUCCGCCAGCUAUGGAGGCGGUUUCGGGGGUGGCUCUUGCCAGCUGGGAGGAGGCCGUGGUGUCUCUACCUGUUCAACUCGAUCACCAUGCAGAACCUCAACGACCGCCUGGCUUCCUACCUGGAGAAGGUGCGCGCCCUAGAGGAGGCCAAUGCCGACCUGGAGGUGAAGAUCCGUGACUGGCACCUGAAGCAGAGCCCAGCUAGCCCUGAGCGGGACUACAGCCCCUACUACAAGACCAUUGAAGAGCUGCGGGACAAGAUCCUGACCGCCACGAUUGAAAACCACCAGGUCAUCCUGGAGAUUGACAAUGCCAGGCUGGCUGCGGACGACUUCAGGCUCAAGUAUGAGAAUGAGCUGGCCCUGCGCCAGAGCGUGGAGGCUGACAUCAACGGCCUGCGCCGGGUGCUGGAUGAGCUCACCCUGUCUAAGACUGACCUGGAGAUGCAGAUCGAGAGCCUGAAUGAGGAGCUGGCCUACAUGAAGAAGAACCAUGAAGAGGAGAUGAAGGAAUUCAGCAACCAGGUGGUCGGCCAGGUCAACGUGGAGAUGGACGCCACCCCAGGCAUUGACCUGACCCGUGUGCUGGCAGAGAUGAGGGAGCAGUACGAGGCCAUGGCGGAGAGGAACCGCCGGGAUGCUGAGGAAUGGUUCCACGCCAAGAGUGCAGAGCUGAACAAGGAGGUGUCUACCAACACUGCCAUGAUUCAGACCAGCAAGACAGAGAUCACGGAGCUCAGGCGCACGCUCCAGGGCCUGGAGAUUGAGCUGCAGUCCCAGCUGAGCAUGAAAGCUGGGCUGGAGAACACGGUGGCAGAGACGGAGUGCCGCUACGCCCUACAGCUGCAGCAGAUCCAGGGGCUCAUCAGCAGCAUCGAGGCCCAGCUGAGUGAGCUCCGCAGUGAGAUGGAGUGCCAGAACCAAGAGUACAAGAUGCUGCUGGACAUCAAGACGCGGCUGGAGCAGGAGAUUGCCACCUACCGCAGCCUGCUCGAGGGCCAGGACGCCAAGAUGAUUGGUUUCCCUUCCUCAGCAGGUAAGGGAACAGCCCCAUGGUGUGGGGGGAGGUGGAGUUAGGCUCCCGUUCACUGCCCCAGUGGGGGUGGGAGCUGGUGGGGAGGGAGGGAGCCAGUGCUGGGCUCUCCAGUGUAGGGAGGGGGAGAGCUGGGGUGGAAGUGGUCAUUCGCUCAUUGAUUUUCCUUUUGAAAUUGAUGGCUCUGCCCCAUAGAGCUAUUGGGCUGUCUUGGCAAGAGCCAUCUUUGGGGACAAUAAAGAGUCUCCAUCCACGCACCACCUGACUAAUGAGGAGCUUGUGAGCCCUCCAGGGGGGCCCUGCCCUGUCCUGAGGUGGGUCUUCUCCAGCCUCAGCAUGUCUUGUCUCCUGUUUCCCAGGAAGCGUCAGCUCCCGUAGCACCUCUGUUACCACGACUUCUGGUGCCUCUGUUACCACCACCUCUAAUGCCUCUGGUCGCCGCACUUCUGAUGUCCAUAGGCCUUAAAUCUGCCUGGCGUCCCCUCCUUCUGUCUUCAGCACCCAGAGGGGGAGAGAGCUGGCUGUUCCCUGCAGGAGAGAGGAGGGGCUGCUGGACCCAAGGCUCAGUUCCUCUGCUCUCAGGACCCCCCAUCCUGACUCUCUCCUGAGGAUGGGCCCUCUGUGCUCUUCUCUUCCCGUCGGAUCUCUCUCCUCUCUGACCUGGAUACUCUUUGGUUUCUCAACUUCUCUACCCCAAAGAAAAGAUUAUUCAAUAAAGUUUCCUGCCUUUCU